AUUGAACGCUGGCGGCAUGCCUUACACAUGCAAGUCGAACGGCAGCGGACCUUCGGGUGCCGGCGAGUGGCGAACGGUGAGUAAUGCAUCGGAACGUGCCAUUGAGUGGGGGAUAACGUAGCGAAAGUUACGCUAAUACCGCAUAUUCUGUGAGCAGGAAAGCAGGGGACCGCAAAGGCCUUGCGCUCUUUGAGCGGCCGAUGUCAGAUUAGCUAGUUGGUGAGGUAAAGGCUUACCAAGGCGACGAUCUGUAGCGGGUCUGAGAGGAUGAUCCGCCACACUGGAACUGAGACACGGUCCAGACUCCUACGGAGGCAGCAGUGGGGAAUUUUGGACAAUGGGCGCAAGCCUGAUCCAGCCAUGCCGCGUGAGUGAAGAAGGCCU
rnacentral:rRNA from 1 species